CCCUUAGAUGUUCUGGGCCGCACGCGCGCUACACUGACGAUGGCAACGAGUUUUUCCUUCGCCGAAAGGUGUGGGUAAUCUUUUGAAACAUCGUCGUGCUGGGGAUAGAUCAUUGCAAUUUUUGAUCUUGAACGAGGAAUUCCUAGUAAGCGCGAGUCAUCAGCUCGCGUUGAUUACGUCCCUGCCCUUUGUACACACCGCCCGUCGCUACUACCGAUUGAAUGGUUUAGUGAGGACUCCUGAUUGGCGCCGCCGCCCCGGCAACGGAGCAGCGGACUGCCGAAAAGUUGUUCAAACUUGAUCAUUUUGAGGAAGUAAAAGUCGUAACA
rnacentral:rRNA from 1 species